GACGAACGCUGGCGGCGUGCUUAACACAUGCGAGUCGAACGGAAAGGCCCUGCUUUUGUGGGGUGCUCGAGUGGCGAACGGGUGAGUAACACGUGAGUAACCUGCCCUUGACUUUGGGAUAACUUCAGGAAACUGGGGCUAAUACCGGAUAGGAGCUCCUGCUGCAUGGUGGGGGUUGGAAAGUUUCGGCGGUUGGGGAUGGACUCGCGGCUUAUCAGCUUGUUGGUGGGGUAGUGGCUGACCAAGGCCUUGACGGGUAGCCGGCCUGAGAGGGUGACCGGCCACAUUGGGACUGAGAUACGGCCCAGACUCGUACGGGAGGCAGCAGUGGGGAAUAUUGCACAAUGGGCGGAAGCCUGAUGCAGCAACGCCGCGUGCGGGAUGACGGCCUUCGGGUUGUAAACCGCUUUCGCCUGUGACGAAGCGUGAGUGACGGUAAUGGGUAAAGAAGCACCGGCUAACUACGUG
rnacentral:rRNA from 1 species